AUGGAAAAGAGGAUGGUUGAACAAGCUUCUGUUGAAUGGAAAUGCAAAGCUGCGAUACACUAACUUGGAACAUACUUCUUUGCUGAGACUGCACGCUACCUUUGAAUGGGAACUUAAAAACAUUUGAAUCUAACAAAACCAUUUAGAGAUUGCAAGAAGCUUCUCUUACUUGUCAUCUUAUCUUCUGGUUACCUUGCCGCUGCAUCUACUUUAGUAGAAAGUUCCAUACAAUCCUAAGAAUCAAAAGUGAAGCGAGGACAAGACUGACAUCUGCUUUCUCGAAGACUGCCAUUGUGCUAACUACAGCUGUGGGGUCUGCAUGAGAAAGGAACAAAAAUAACCCAAGUAACCAAGGAGCAUGUUGUUGAGAGCGUGUGCCCUAUUGUUUGUGGCUCUGACACCAUGUGAUGGAACAAGGAACGUGGCUACCCUGUUCCAGGAGAGCCUCCCCGUUGAGGAACCUUAUAAACAGCCAACUCCCUGUUCCAGACUGCAGCUAUGCAAGGAGAUGAGUCUUCCUCUGGAAGCUGGUUUCACAUGGUGGCUUAGAUUUUCCCAUCUUUGUAUCUAGCACCAUUUGAAAUCAGUGUUCUAGGGGCAAGAAUUACAGCGUGGGAAGAGAUUGAAGAAGCAGCUGCUUACUUCUCGACUGGGGUCUACUCCUUAAAAGUUGCUUUGGCCUGAAAGAAAUAACUUAAUUCCAACUGUUAACAACAGGUAGUGUUAGGCACCGACAUGGGUCACCAUUUACAGUAUGCGUUGCUGGGGCUGUAGCAGGGAAGGACUUCAUUGGAUUUUUUUCCCUAACAGAACUGAUGCACACUAACUGUCUGGACUAAAGGCAUAAAGCAGCACAACUACAUGCACAACACUGAAGACACAGCUAGUAAGAGCAUGGCUGAAAAUCUAUUCCUAAAGCCAUGCUAUGGCAAAGAUCUAUUUUUUUAAAUAGACCAACAAAUGUCCUGGGGCGUUUAUGGCCUUACUUUCAGAAGUGAUAAAUAUGUCCAGGUCCUACAGACUUCAUUAUGGAGCUACAGGUACUUGGCACUUCUGAAAAUCCCAUUCCUUUGUUAUCAGUGGUGGGAGGACAAAAUCUGCCAAGAAAAAUACGUUGAUGUACAUGGCAUUUAAUCAUGAGAUUUUAAAGUACUACCCAUUUCCAAUGGACCAUAUUAAAAUAAGGUCAAUCUUUCCCCAUCAACCCAAAUCACUGAAGAUGAAUUUUAAGUUAGGCUUGUUCCUUCAAACCCACUAUUUCUCUUCAACUUCUGUCAUAUAUGCAGAGGGACAAGCAUUGUCCAGAAGCAGCAUCUACCGGUACAGCAUAGUCUUCCUCAAAGAAUACAGGGCUGUUCGCUACAGGAGGAACCUCUGAAUUGGAAAAGUCUCUUACACAGGCUGACCGAUUUCUCUUGGUGUUCAGAGUCUCAGUGUUUGUCUAGCACCAUUUGAAAUCGGUUAUGAUGUAGGGGGAAAAGCAACAGUAAUUGGAAACUUCACUUUUCCCCCCCUGCACAACUCCUAUGCGAUGACCACACUGGCUCCAGAAUACUACCAGAAAACUUAUUACCGGUACCUUGCUACAUAAAUACACAGGUAUUUACUCAUGAAAGCCUUUGUAUUCUCUGAACUUAAGUUAGUUGUAUGUGCCUGUUCAAUAUGCCGUGUAAAAUAAAGGGCAUGGAGCAGACAUUUCCUCUUGGAAGGAUGCUUAAGGUAUUUGAAAUGCAUCAUCUAAAAAGAUUUAGCUCCAACUCUUGAAUUUCAGGGAGGUGCGGGGAUGUGCGAGAAAGAACACAUACGUGUGCGUAUGCAGAAGUGCCUCCCUUCCUGUUAGCCAGCAAACAAGCGGCCAUUUGAUUCUGCAAGCUUGCAAACUAUGUAACCUACUUUGAGCUACUGUUUUCAAUAAAAAUUUGUACUACGUCAUAUUGGCCUCUGCCUCAAAGACACGUCCUUUUCGGUUGAUUACCUAACUGCUGCAAAUGGAUUUCCUCCUCUCACUCGCCAGGUGCAGUUUGCAUCUUCCUGUUCUGAAAGCACUACAAGACGAGUACAAACACCUGACUAUGUUGGUAUCUCACUCUUACAUUCCUGAAUAUGAUAUAAUGUCUUUAGCAAGCAUGUUCUCUCAAGACACGCAAUUCAGAAGGAUUACACCAAAACAUUUAGAUCAGGGGUGUCAAAUUCCCUUGACCCUGCUUCCCCACAUCCCAGCCAGAUCAGGGCCACAAGGCUCCGCACAGCCUGAAUCCAAACUCACUUCUGGCAGCCGGACCAGCAGCAUUAGGGAACAGCAGGGUCAAUGCAGCUGUCGCUCACCCCUCUGCCACAGACACACAUCCUCCAUGGGGGUCUGUGCACCAAAAUUUAGUACUAGGUCCUGCCCAAAAGCCCUCUGAGCCAGAUGCAGACUGGAUUCUUGACACCCCUGAUCCAGGUUAGUUACAAAACUAAAUAUUACUUCCUGCUAAAUAUUGCCACUAAGUGGAGAUGAUGUAUUAUUCACAGUAGACUGACUGUGGUGAGUAAUUUAACAUUUCUUUACCACUUUUAAACCAUCAUGAAAUGCUAAAGUUUUCUAGAUUACACAGGAUUCUCAAGAGUUGGAGGAGACCUCUAUGACUCUCCUCUUAAACAC